UUUGGUGGCGAUAGCGAAGAGGUCACACCCGUUCCCAUUCCGAACACGGCAGUUAAGCUCUUCAGCGCCGAUGGUAGUUGGGGGUUUCCCCUUGUGAGAGUAGGACGCCGCCAAGC
rnacentral:rRNA from 2 species